UCGAGGAUCUUCGGCAAUGGGCGCAAGCCUGACCGAGCGACGCCGCGUGCGCGAUGAAGGCCUUCGGGUUGUAAAGCGCUGUCGAGGGGGAGGAAGCUCCGCAAGGGGUUGACCUAUCCCUGGAGGAAGCACGGGCUAAGUUCGUGCCAGCAGCCGCGGUAAGACGAACCGUGCGAACGUUGUUCGGAAUCACUGGGCUUAAAGGGCGCGUAGGCGGGUCACCAAGUCCGGGAUGAAAGCUUUCGGCUUAACCGGAAAAGGGCCUUGGAUACUGGUGGCCUCGAGGGAGGUAGGGGUCUGCGGAACUUCUGGUGGAGCGGUGAAAUGCGUUGAUAUCAGAAGGAACGCCGGUGGCGAAAGCGGCGGACUGGACCUCUUCUGACGCUGAGGCGCGAAAGCCAGGGGAGCAAACGG
rnacentral:rRNA from 1 species